rnacentral:lncRNA from 1 species
AUAUUACCCCUAUGUUCUAUUUUUAGCCAUGGCGGCCUUCUUGGUUGGUUGGCCGGGUCACCGGACACAUUUUUUAAACUAGAUACCCCAAUGAUGAUUAUGGCCAAGUUUGGUUAAAUUUGGCCCAUUAGUUUCAGAGGAGAAGAUUUUUCUAAAAGAUUACUAAGAUUUACGAAAAAUGUUUAAAAAUUGACUAUAAAGGGCAAUAACUCCUAAAGUGGUCAACUGACCAUUUUGGUCAUGUUGACUUAUUUGUAGAUCUUACUUUGCUGAACAUUAUUGCUGUUUACAGUUUAUCUGUAUCUAUAAUAACAUUCAAGAUAAUAACCAAAAACAGCA